GUGAGCGAGGAAGAAAACUAGAGCGAAGAGAAACCAGUAGAGAGCUGAGUUCCACCUGAGAAGAGAAGCAUUGCUGUGAAACAGUGGGUUGCAAAUCUUUCCCUCUGAAACGCAAUUUAGAUACAAUUGAGACACGGGUCUCAAAAUUCUGAGGCAUUAAUCAAAAUAAUUUGGCGAGUGGCUAACAGGGGAUUUUUCUUUGAAAAAAAAACCCUUUCCACCAUCUCAGAACUAAAGGGACAGAUACAGAAAUAUAACCUUGGGUCUGCCUGGAGAACCUGCAUGGCAUCCUCCUGUUUUAUCUCCGCCUUAUCACCCAAUCGCAAGAAGUAGACAUGCUCCCCUCUUUCACACACAAAGGAUCAAUGUCUUGAGCCCCUUUCCGCUGGGGAUUACAGGUUAGUUGCCGAAAACCCGGUGGCUUGUGACCGAGAGUAACCCCGGAGUUUUUUGACCGAGAGUAACCCCGGAGUCUGCAAUGAAUUCCGAAACUGCAGGGAGAAGAGCAGAGCUCCUAUCAGCAUCGUUUGCACUGACUGCCUGACAACAUCAUUAAAGCAACUUCUGCCCAGAGACAGCGCAGUUUCAACGAUUCUUUUAUUGCCAUUGCAAGCUGUCUUCAGCCACAGCGUCAGCAACUCUCGAGUUAUAUCUGUUUGCGUUUUUGUUCCAUUGUAAAAUCUAUUUGUCUCUCUUCCACACACCCUCCUCCCCGUGCAGUUUGCCUAGAAACAAAUCCAAACUUGGCUCACCCAAACCUGCCCCCCUACCCUAUCCCUGUAACCCUGCAUUUCCCACUGAUAAUCCACCCUAACCUGCACAUCCCUGGGCACUGUGGACAAUUUAG